AGCUUUGUGCAGUGGCAGUAUCGUAGCCAAUGAGGUUUAUCCGAGGCACGACUAUUGCUAAUUGAAAACUUUGAAAGCCAGGUGUG
ensembl:snRNA LOC120100111 U4 spliceosomal RNA